GAAGAAUUCCAGGCAGAGGAUGAGAGAAAGACUUAAAGCAGUCUCGCUGCCACUUUCCACCCCCACACACAAUGGCGGGGGAGGAGGUGACCCUGAGUUGAGACUGAGCAACGGAGAGACAGGCCGAGGGGCUCGGAGGUGAUUUGGGCGGGGGCAGCCGAAAACCAAAAGAGAAAUGUGGGGGAGGAAUGCCUCCUGUGACAUGUGGAAGUCGAGCUGAAGCUGCAGCUGAAACAGAGAGAAGCCAAACCAAGCAGACUUUUUCUGGGUGAAGCAUGUCAGGAGACAAGAGCCUGAACUACAAAUGUGCUGUGAAUAUUGCAGCCUCCACUGAGCCUGCAGGUGAUUGCUAUGGGAAUUACUACGAUGAAAAUAAUUUAGGGUGAAAGGC